rnacentral:rRNA from 1 species
GACGAUGAGGUUGAUAGGUUCGAGGUGGAAGCGUGGUGACACGUGUAGCUGACGAAUACUAAUCGAUCGAGGACUUAACUAAA